GGCCCGGCCCGGAGGCCCCUUGCCCGGCGCAGCCCCCGGCCGACCCCCGUGCGCCGCCGGCGGCCGCCAGCACGGCGCGGAGGUGGGCUAGCGGCGGCGGCGCACGAAAGGUCACCGCGGUGGCAUUCCUCUCCGCGCUGUUUACGUGACUUAAUGUACUCGCUGCGCCGCGGGUAAGUUCGGGCUGCGAUAAGGGGGCGGCCGGGGGAGGGUCGCCGUAAAAGCCCCACGCCGGGCGCCUCCAGCCCUCCCCUCAUCCAUUAACCUUUUUACUUUCUUCUCCGCUCUCUCUCCAAGCCUGUUAUCUAGGCCACCCAAUGACCGACGAAAGAUUUUCCCUCCCUGCUUCUCCCGUGGCCGCUUUAAACCAAAUAAAUUUAGCUAUUAAGGGCCAAGAUGUCUGACAAAAGAUCGAAAGGUGUCUUUCCGUGAUCGCUUAAAGAAGCGAAGGAGAAGCUUGCGGCUCUCAAAUCCCGAUAAAGAAAUUCCGCGCCGGCGCCGGCCUCCCUCCCCGCGGCCUGGUUGCUCCCUGACGCCCUGAGACCCCGACUUCGGCGGCCGCAGACCUCGGACGGGCCCGGCGGGACCUGUGGCUGCCGCCUGGGGAAGGUGGAGGUCCCCGGGCUGCGGGGCCAGGGAGUGCCAGGCCCUAGGAGACGGGCGGACAAGGGGGUCCCCGGGAGCUCUGGAGCUCCAGGUGGGAGCUGGGUAUCCUAAAACGGCCCCCGUGCACUUCGCGGAAAAACUAAGCCAAGCUCAGGGGGCCGAAAUUACCACUCCGUUUUGAUUAUUUUCUGAUACUAAAUAAUAAAGAUAAAACCAAACUGCCCCCACCUACCAUCCCACUCCCUGUAGGUCUGCUAAGGGGCAGUGUGCUGGUCCACGUCGCUGGUCCUGGGGCAGCGCUCCCUUUGAACCCCAGGCUGAAGGUGGUGGGUGGAACUGAGGCUGCCAGGGAAGGUGUGGACUCGCAGAGUAACCGCACGCAGGUGGGAGGCAGAGGUCCAGUCAUUCAGUCAUCCCUCGGCUUGGGUUUGGUUUGAAGUGUGGUAUUUAUUAUCAUUAUUAAUUGCUACUGGCACCACUACAUAAAGCCUAGGGCUGCCAGCUGGGCUGAGGCUCUGCCCCUGGAGUGAUCCCUUCCCUUUCACCAACGGGUGACGGCAGGGAAGAUCCAGUUUCCUGAUCCUGGAUACUAAAAAGUGGGCUUGGGGAGUCAGUUGUGAUGUUUUUGAAGUUUUCUCCUCCCCUUAAGUAAAAAGAGUCCAUAUUCCAGACCAGCAUAAACCUUUUCUACCUUUUUGAAAUAGGACAAGGAGGUGAUGGGGUGGGGGUAAGUUUCAGAUGAGACCCCUUGUCUUCCCUGCAGAGGGCUUUCCCAAGUCUUCUGCCUCCCCCAGUGUGUUCUCUGGCAGAUGCUGGGAGCAGGACUCUCAAUUCCAAAAGGCAGCCCAGGGUCUGCUGUCUGUCCCCUCACACUAGGCUGGGAAGUGGAAGAUGCCUCUCUUUUUUUGUUAUCCCUUCCAAAUAAGGUGAAUGCCAAAAAUCAUACGUCCUAUCUGAUCCGUACCCCACCAGCCUCUGGGGAGGGGAAAAAUUAGAGCAUCAGAGGAAAAGGGAAUAUUUCUGCUCCCAAGAAGGUGAAAGAGAUGGAGAAAUGCCCAACCCACUAGGCAGGGAGGACCUAGGCUCUUCCUGGAUUUUGCUGGUAUCACAAGGUGUGCAGGCCAUGCCAGUUCUAGGGCCAGGGUCCAAAUACGACCGUCCCUGGGCUGUCUCAGCUCAAAGACCUUCCUGACUGUUCAGUAGUUUUUUGGUUUUGUUUUUUCAAAACCAAAAAGCGUGGGACAGGGAUGGCUAAAGGGAAGCAAGAAAAAGAAGAAAUCAGCUUUUGGAGACUUGCUGAAUUACAAAUGCCCCACUUUGAGUCAAUUAAAGGGGCAGAAAGUGCCCAAGAAACAAACAAAAAAAUAACCCAGAAAUAUGACCUCUCCAUACAGCUAUGUUGCAAAUAUGCAGAGAAUUAGGACCAAAGGCUUGUCUACCAGGAUGCAGUCCUCCAGUUCCCUGCCACUUGCCCAAGGCAUACUGAGUAUGCACUGCACGAGGAAGAAAGAGAAGAGUUAGCUCCUAGUUUUGAAGUGUUUACAGUCUAGAAGGUUGGCACCUCUGUAAAGCCGGUUAGGCAAAAUCCCACUUUCCAAGAUGGAAGGAGAUGACCGAGUCUUUUUCCCUUCUCUAGAAAAGUCUAGAUUGCCCUCUAGGCAACCCAGCGGGUUUGAAAAGAAAGGAGUGGCUCAUACACUGAGAGAAUUUCCAGAAGCCAUUGGGCCUGCGCAGGACCCUGGGCCAGGCUGCCUGGGUUUCAAUCCUGAUGCCACCAUUUACUAGCUAUGUGAUCAUGGCAAAUAGCCCAACCUCUCUGUGCCACAGUUUCUUCAUCUGCAAAAUGGGGAUAAUAAAAGUACUCCCAUUACGGGAUUGCUAAGAGGAUGAAAAGAUUUCUUACAUGUAAACUGCUAAUAGUACCUGGCACAUAGUAAGUGCUAUAUAAAUGUUAUUACUAAUAUCUAUUGUAGUAGACUUUCAUAUACUACACCAAAUUUCGAUUUCUUGUUUGGCCCAACUGUCCCCAGGAGCAAGAUUAAUUCCCAGUAAAUAACUUCUUUGAGCACUCAUUCAGUUGGGACCUGUGAUUCACCAGAGGUCUCAAGCCUUUUCUAUGUACCAGCAGUGAGGACUUUAUUUAUUGCAUUAUGGUAGGAAAGGAGGUGAAGGGUGAGACAAACAUAGGUUCUUUACUUGUCUUUGGUUCCUUUGAAGAGGAGACAUCCCUUGUUCCCCUUGCAAAUGCCAGCAACAGAUCUUCUGCAAUAUCUUCUACAGGACAAAGACAGUAAUCUUGAGGCUCCUCCUCUGCUCCAACAAAAGAAUCCCUGUCCCAGCAGCACCCCUUCCUGGGAACCUCUUUCUGGCAGUAGACAGGAGUGAAUUAAGAGACCACUAAGAAGGGCAACCUUGAGGACUGGCAUUAGAUAUUAGCAGGGGCGGGGGGUGGGGGAAGAACUAAUUAAA
rnacentral:lncRNA from 1 species